UGGAGCCCAGGAUGUGAAGAGUGGGGUCUGGAAUGAACUCUUCACACUGUCAACAUGGACUGGAACCCCUCUAUGGCCUCUCAGCUCCAGAGCUGUCCUGCCAAGGAAAUUUUAGGCUCCCAAGGAUGUUCCCCCCACCUCAAGGAGACAGGAUCCGAUGUUACUUUCCAAGGCCCUGACUUCCCUCUGAACUUUGAACCUUUUAGAAAAAAGAGAUUUCUUUGAACCUUUGGCUCAGUCUCCCCAUAUCCUCCAGUGCACCAACAGUGUUUCUCGGAACAGUUUUUCCCAUUAGUAAACCUGUCAGCUCGU